UACGUAGGGGGCAAGCGUUGUCCGGAAUCAUUGGGCGUAAAGAGCGUGUAGGCGGUUCGUUAAGUCGGCUGUGAAAGUCCAAGGCUCAACCUUGGGAUGCCGGUCGAUACUGCCGGACUAGAGUUCGGAAGAGGCGAGUGGAAUUCCCGGUGUAGCGGUGAAAUGCGCAGAUAUCGGGAGGAACACCUAUGGCGAAGGCAGCUCGCUGGGACGUUACUGACGCUGAGACGCGAAAGCGUGGGGAGCAAACAGG
rnacentral:rRNA from 1 species